AAAAGCAUUUCUUUCCCUUAAACUAAUCGAUACAAUCAUGGAGACAAAUCCUACAACUAACUCCCAACUCUUCUCGUUGUUUUCUUCAGUUUUUUAUGACGCGGAAGAGGGUUCUGUUUUAUUACCAACGAAAGCGAAGCUUUGAGACAAGAAAAUGUGGUUUGUUCUGUCAGGGUCCAAACUAGGACAUGUUCUUUUCUUUGGUUUUCUGGCUUUGAAAUGCUUCGAAGAUUUUGGGUCCAAUGCUCAACUCAUACCACAAGAUGAAGUGAAAGUUCUACAAGCAAUAUCGGAUAAACUAAAGAACUUGAACUGGAAAGUCACAGAGCGUUCCUGCACAGAGGAUGGAAGCUUUAAUGGCCAGGUUUAUGUAGAUGAUGAUAUUGUCAGGAAUGUCACAUGCAAUUGCACCUUCCAAAGAAACACUGUUUGCCAUGUUGAUAACAUCACUCUCAAAGGUCAAAAUAUAUCCGGAGUUAUACCCAGUGAAUUUGGAAAUCUUACUCAACUAAAAGUACUUGAUCUCUCUCGCAACUUUCUCAAUGGCUCACUGCCAACGAAUUUUGGUCGCAACUCGCUGGUUAUUCUGUCCCUUGUGGGAAACCGACUAAGUGGCCCAAUUCCCGUAGAAAUUGGUGACAUAGCUAGUCUGGAGGAACUGGUCUUAGAAAGUAAUCAACUCGAAGGAUCACUUCCGCCCAAUCUUGGAAAUUUGAGCAAGUUGAGGAGACUGCUUCUUUCUGCAAAUAAUUUUACUGGGACCAUACCAGAAACAUUUGGCAAACUAAAGAAUCUCACUGAUUUUAGGAUAGAUGGAAACAGUUUAACCGGAUCAAUACCCAGUUUUAUUGGGAACUGGACCAAACUUGACAGAUUGGAUAUGCGGGGAACAUCUAUGGAAGGCCCGAUUCCUCCCACUAUAUCACAGUUGAAACUUUUGACUGAAUUGAGAAUCACUGAUUUGAAUGGACCAACAACUAUGGCAUUUCCUGAUCUGAUGGAUUUGAAAAUCUUGGAACGAUUGGAAUUGAGAAAUUGCUUAAUCACUGGUCUUAUUCCGGAUUACAUUGGUGAAAUGUCUAAGUUAAAAACUUUAGACCUAAGCUUCAAUAUGUUGACUGGUCCAAUCCCAAAUUCAAUUCAGGGAUUGAAAAGCCUAAAUUAUAUGUUUCUGACUAAUAAUUCUCUGAGCGGACCAAUUCAAGACUGGAUACUGAACUUCAAAAUUAAUAUAGAUUUAUCUUACAACAAUUUUACAAAAUCUUCUGCACCUAACUGCCAGAUCUUGAAUCUGAACUUGGCUUCAAGCCACUCUUCUUCAGCAGUCACUUCGCCUUCAACUUUUUGUUUGAAGAGGAACCUACCUUGUGCUGGAAAACCCCAGUACAAGUCAUUGUUCAUAAACUGCGGAGGAAAUGAGGGAGUGUUUGAAGGCAACAACUAUUUUGGUGACCUCCAGCAAGAUGGCAUUUCAAACUUUCUUCUUAGAAAUGAAAAACAAUGGGCUUAUAGCAGCACGGGAGUAUAUGUGGGAAAUGCUAAUGCAGAUUAUAUAGCAGAAAAUACAUUUUCUUUGAACAUUAGUGGUCCAGAAUACUACCAAACUGCACGCCUUUCCCCUCUGUCACUAAACUACUAUGGCCUUUGUAUGCCAAAUGGUAAUUAUAAAGUGAAGCUCCAUUUUGCUGAGAUAAUGUUUUCUGAUGACCAGAAUUUUAGCAGUGUAGGAAGGCGCAUAUUUGAUGUUUCAGUUCAAGGUUAUAGAUAUUUGAAAGAUUUUAACAUUGUGGAAAAAGCUGGAGCAGUUGGAAAGGGCAUCACUGAGGAAUUUGAUGUUGAAGUUGAUGAUGGAACCUUGCAAAUCCACUUAUACUGGGCAGGGAAAGGAACUACUGCCAUUCCUGACAGAAGUGUAUAUGGACCUCUUGUAUCUGCAAUCGAGAUGAUACCAAACUUUGAAAAUCCUUCAAAAGGCCUGUCUGCUGGAGCUAUUGUUGGAAUUGUGGCUGCAUCAUGUGUUCUUGUUAUAUUGGUAUUGGUUGCCCUUUGGAAGAUGGGUUUCCUUGGUGGGAAAAAUACAACAGAUAAAGACCUUCUAGAUCUUAAAACAGGUUAUUUCAGCUUAAGACAAAUUAAAGCAGCCACGAAUAACUUUGACUCUGCAAAUAAGAUAGGUGAAGGGGGAUUUGGGCCUGUAUAUAAGGGUGUGCUGUCAGAUGGUGAUGUAAUUGCUGUUAAGCAGCUCUCCUCCAAAUCAAAGCAAGGGAAUCGUGAAUUUGUCAAUGAAAUUGGAAUGAUAUCUGCUUUGCAGCAUCCAAAUCUGGUGAAGCUUUAUGGCUGUUGCAUUGAAGGAAACCAGUUGCUGCUAAUAUAUGAAUACAUGGAGAACAACAGUCUCGCUCGUGCACUUUUUGGUAAAGAAGAACAAAAGCUGCACUUGGACUGGCCCACAAGAAUGAAGAUCUGUGUGGGGAUAGCAAGGGGAUUGGCUUAUCUUCAUGAGGAAUCAAGGUUGAAAAUAGUACAUAGGGACAUUAAGGCAACCAAUGUCUUACUUGACAAGGAUCUGAAUGCCAAGAUCUCUGACUUUGGUUUAGCUAAGCUUGAUGAAGAAGAAAAUACCCAUAUCAGCACCCGGGUAGCUGGAACAAUGUUAGCACUGUACCACAUCUAUUAGCUUGAACUCAAUACUCAGUUCAUACUUUGUUGAUAUUUUAUUCAUUGCAUAAACAACCGAGACAUAGUUACCAUACACAAUAGUGGUUAUAUGGCUCCCGAAUACGCUAUGCGAGGUUACUUGACUGAUAAAGCAGAUGUAUAUAGCUUUGGAGUUGUAGCUCUAGAGAUAGUUAGUGGAAAAAGCAACACAAAUUACAGGCCAAAGGAGGAGUUUGUAUAUCUUCUGGAUUGGGCCUAUGUUCUCCAAGAGCAGGGAAACCUUCUGGAGUUGGUGGAUCCAAGUCUUGGUUCAAAGUUCUCCCCAGAAGAGGCCAUGAGAAUGCUGAGCUUGGCACUCCUAUGCACCAAUCCAUCCCCCACUCUUAGACCACCCAUGUCAUCUGUAGUUAGCAUGCUUGAAGGAAAAACCCCAAUCCAAGCACCGAUAAUCAGGCUCGGUGAAAGCAGCCAUGAUGCAAGAUUUAAAGCCUUUGAGUUCCUAUCACAAGACAGCCAAACUUUUGUUUCUUCUGCAUACUCACAAGAAAGCAUGGAGCAAAGACACAAAUCAGCAGAUGGGCCAUGGGUUGAUUCCUCCAUAUCUCUUCAAAGUAGAGAUGAUCAUUCUUUAAUUAAUAAUGUUUAAUGAGAUUCACAUGAUGAGUGACAUUUUCAAAAGUUAGAGAGAUAUUAAAGUGCAUGGUGAGACCCUGACUGUGCAAAGUGCUGAUCUAUAAUAUAUAAAAUGUACAAAGGAAAAGGCAUUGAAGCAUUGGAGGAGGUAUCAAAGUGCAUGGAACAAUUUCACAUGUUUGUUGUUACUGUAAGUUGUGGUUUUUAAAUACACUUAUUUCAUGUGAUUGUUCUCAUAAAGAUUUUAGCGUAAUUUUAG